CCUAGUAGCGGCGAGCGAAGCGGGAAGAGCUCAAAUUUAUAAUCUGGCACCUUCGGUGUCCGAGUUGUAAUCUCUAGAAAUGUUUUCCGCGUUGGACCGCACACAAGUCUGUUGGAAUACAGCGGCAUAGUGGUGAGACCCCCGUAUAUGGUGCGGACGCCCAGCGCUUUGUGAUACAUUUUCGAAGAGUCGAGUUGUUUGGGAAUGCAGCUCAAAUUGGGUGGUAAAUUCCAUCUAAAGCUAAAUAUUGGCGAGAGACCGAUAGCGAACAAGUACCGUGAGGGAAAGAUGAAAAGCACUUUGGAAAGAGAGUUAACAGUACGUGAAAUUGUUGGAAGGGAAACGCUUGAAGUCAGACUUGCUUGCCGAGCAAUCGGUUUGCAGGCCAGCAUCAGUUUUCCGGGAUGGAUAAUGGUAAAGAGAAGGUAGCAGUUUCGGCUGUGUUAUAGCUCUCUACUGGAUACAUCCUGGGGGACUGAGGAACGCAGUGUGCCUUUGGCGGGGGUUUCGACCUCUUCACACUUAGGAUGCUGGUGGAAUGGCUUUAAACGACCCGUCUUGAAACACGGACCA
rnacentral:rRNA from 1 species